AAUGCCAUAUCAUUCUUUCUAGUUACCUUGAUUGGGAGAUCAUUAGGACUCAUCUACACUGGAAUUAGGCAGUCCCUGCGAUGGAAGUGAGCUGUGGAAUUAGGCAGUCCCUGCGAUGGAAGUGAGCUGUGGAAUUAGGCAGUCCCUGCGAUGGAAGUGAGCUGUCAUGGGUAUAUUUUUAUGUUUCCAUUCUAAUUUUGCUUUUCCAUGUUUUUUUGCUUGAUUUAGCAGUAGCUAGAGGAGGAAUCUGACUUCUAAACAGUCAGAUUGAAACCUUCAAUUUUGCCAGAGUUGCUUGAGGCUUCUACUUAUUUGUAAUAAAUCUCAGUAGCAUCAUCUGUUUGCUGCUAAAAACUUGAUUUUGAUAUCAACUCAACACAUGGAGAAUAAAAGAUACUGAAGUUUUCAACUAUGCAUUGAAGCACAGAAAUCUGAACAUGAAUCUUGCAAAGGCAGUGUACAUGUUCCAAUUGAUGCUUGGAACCAUUUUCACCAGAAUGUUUUCCUUUAUUCCUUCUCUUAUUUAGUUACUCUUUGAACUGAAUUGAAUUGGAAUGGGGCCUGAGGUGAGAUUAAGACUAGGCUUUAGUGCUGAACCACUGAUAUACUUUCGUAGGCAUAAAAUUGCUUGAUGGUGGAGAGAGGCAUUUGAAUUAUUUGUACUGCAUUGUUGGGAAUAUUUACAUGUGCAUGAGGCCUUGGAUUCUGGUUUUUGAAGGGAAUGAGUAGCUAGUGAAAUAUAGGCUGUUAGGGAUGAAGAGGUGACUCGUAUUUGCUCGACCUUCAUGACUGAUUGUGAUUAUCUUCUCCAGAUUGUGCAAAACUGCCUCUAAUGUCCAGAUGCUCAGAUAAAAUGCUGUAACUUAUACCAACCAGCCUGAAAUUAUAUUUUCUAACUUCCCUUAAGCAUUUCACAACAUGCUUCGAUAAUUAUAAUAUAACGAGGUAGUGAUCAAAGAUUAAUUAGUCUGAGUACAUGUCUCUCUGUGUAUCACAGCAUUAUAUCGGUGGAUGUUUGUUUUGCAUGUUUGAUCCAUUAUUUAAUGGUCAUGAAGAAAAUGGUGGGGACAGGCGUACAUAUAGAAAAUACUUUUCAAAAGAUUUGCGAAAGCAAAAGUACAUUUCAGAAGAUAAUCCUUGUGCCCUACCAUCUUUACAUUAUUGAUUCUCUCUUUUUGCAGAAACUUCUAUAUUAUGCAUUAAUCAAUUCAUGGUGUCCACGUCUGUUUAUAA
rnacentral:misc_RNA from 1 species